rnacentral:tRNA from 1 species
GCCUGGGUGGCUCAGUCGGUUGAGCGUCCGACUUCAGCUCUGGUCAUGAUCUCCCAGUUCUUGGGUUCAAGCCCCAAGUCAGGCU